UACGAAGGGUGCAAGCGUUAAUCGGAAUUACUGGGCGUAAAGCGUGCGUAGGCGGUUGGCUAAGUCAGAUGUGAAAGCCCUGGGCUCAACCUGGGAAUGGCAUCUGAAACUGGCCGGCUAGAGUGUGAUAGAGGAUGGCGGAAUUCCCGGUGUAGCGGUGAAAUGCGUAGAGAUCGGGAGGAACAUCCGUGGCGAAGGCGGCCAUCUGGAUCAACACUGACGCUGAGGCACGAAAGCGUGGGGAGCAAACAGG
rnacentral:rRNA from 1 species